rnacentral:misc_RNA from 1 species
GAGAUGGACGGUCCGGUCUUCAAGAUCCGCAGCGAUCCGCGAAUUACACGACUCGGCAGGAUCCUCAGGCGCACCUCUCUUGAUGAACUGCCCCAGUUCGUCCAGGUGCUCACGGGCCACAUGUCGCUCGUCGGCCCUCGCCCGCUGCCGCUGCGCGAUGUCACCCGGUUCACGAGACCCGGGGACAUGCGGCGCUUCAGCGUUCGGCCGGGCUUGACCUGCCUGUGGCAGAUCAGCGGACGCAACAACCUGGGAUUCAACGAGUGGAUCCGGCUGGACUUGACCUAUAUCGAUUUCUGGUCGCUGGUUCUGGAUUUUCGGAUUCUUGCGAGGACGAUCCCCGCCGUGCUGAGGGGCGUCGGUGCCGGAUAACCGGCGGCACACCACCGCCAACUGUGAG